AGGUAGCAUAAUCACUUGUUUCUUAAAUAGAGACUAGUAUCAACGGCAUCACGAAGACUAUACUGUCUCCUCCCUAAAAUCAAUGAAACUGAUCUCCUCGUGAAGAAGCGAGGAUAUAUAUAUAAGACGAGAAGACCCCAUGGAGCUUUAAACGAACUUCAAUUGUUCCUACCCAUAACAUACAAAUUGAACACUCCUUGAUAGAUAGUUUUAGGUUGGGGUGACCGCGGAGUAAAACAAAACCUCCACAAUGAAUGUAAUAAAAUUCUUAUAAAAGAACUACAAUUCUAAUAAUCAAAAAUUUGACAUAAGUUGACCCAAACACUUGAUCAAUGAACCAAGUUACCCUGGGGAUAACAGCGCAAUCCAUUUUAAGAGCCCAUAUCGACAAAUGGGUUUACGACCUCGAUGUUG
rnacentral:rRNA from 1 species